AUUGAACGCUGGCGGAAUGCUUUACACAUGCAAGUCGAACGGCAGCACAGACUUCGGUCUGGUGGCGAGUGGCGAACGGGUGAGUAAUGUAUCGGAACGUGCCCAGUCGUGGGGGAUAACGUAGUGAAAAUUACGCUAAUACCGCAUACGAUCUAUGGAUGAAAGCGGGGGAUCGCAAGACCUCGCGCGAUUGGAGCGGCCGAUAUCAGAUUAGGUAGUUGGUGGGGUAAAGGCCCACCAAGCCAACGAUCUGUAGCUGGUCUGAGAGGACGACCAGCCACACUGGAACUGAGACACGGUCCAGACACCUACGGGAGGCAGCAGUGGGGAAUUUUGGACAAUGGGCGAAAGCCUGAUCCAGCCAUUCCGCGUGCAGGAUGAAGGCCCUCGGGUUGUAAACUGCUUUUGUACAGAACGAAAAGGUUUCUACUAAUACUAGGAGCUCAUGACGGUACUGUAAGAAUAAGCACCGGCUAACUACGUGCCAGCAGCCGCGGUAA
rnacentral:rRNA from 1 species